rnacentral:Y_RNA from 1 species
GGUGGUCCGAAGGUAGUGAGUUAUCUCACUUGAUUGUUCACAGUCAGUGACAGAUUGAACUCCUUGUUGUAAUACUUUCCCCCUUCUCCACUACUGCACUUAACAAGUCUUAA